GGCAGGCUCUCGGAUGCGCCCAGCUCCGUUGGAAGGUGAAGGUUGCUCUGGAGACGGCGGGGAGGGCGGGACCUGCGCGCGGCGCGUGCUAGUGACGCACUGCGCAGGCGCCAGCAGUCUCGCGGGGCAGUUGAUACCCGGAUGGAGCCGGAGCUGUUGGUUCGGAAGGUGUCGGUGCUGCAGGCCUGGGUCCGGGGCUUCUUGGUCCGACGCCAGUUCCAGAGUCUGCGAGCUGAGUAUGAGGCUAUUGUACGAGAGAUCGAGGGUGAUCUGGGCACACUUCAGUGGACUGAGGGCUGGAUUCCUAGACCCAGAUUUCUCCCACAGAAGGCAAAGUCUCAACGGACCUGGAAAGCUGGAGAGAGGGUACCAAAGCCAGAGCAGGAACUAUGGAGCUGCUUCCCACGCAAGGAGCCUGAAAGAGACAUCAUUCGAGAGGAGAGGAUGCUGAAGAAGUCAGGAGAGUGCUCAGCAAACUCAGGAAGUCUUCCCUGCAGAGAUGACAGCCCCUGGCUUCAGGACGGGAAGAACAAGAAACCCAGGCAAGAGGAGACCAGAGAUACGUCAAGGAUGGAGAACCCAGAAGUUGCAGGUCCAGGACUGUCCCACAGCCAGACUGAGCUCCAGGAGCUCCAGUACCACCGCAGCCACUUGGCCAUGGAACUGCUGUGGCUACAACAGGCGAUUAAUAGCCGUAAAGAGUAUUUGAUUCUCAAAGAAACUCUAAGAUCCCCAGAAACAAGCCAGACCAGAGAUGAGCCCAGCAUGUGCCCAGACCAUGGGGGACAGGCCUGUGAGAAGGCUGGGUCACAAAGCCUGCUAUUGGAAGACCAGUCCUAUAGAGACAGGACCACUGGAGAGCCAGACCAUGCGGAUGACACCUGCUGGAGGUUCAAAUCACAACCUAACAAAUCCCCAGAAAGACAGGGCACUAUAGUCAAAACCACUACUAGGGCUAAAUACAGGGACUCGUGCUACAGGAGAGCUGGACCACAGCUGCCCACACCAUCAGAUAACCAAGCCAUAGAGAACAGACUCACCAAAGAGCCAGACUGUGGGAAACAGACCUUUGGAGGGACCUGCCUGCAGCUGACGCAACUCCUAGAGGACCAGACCCCCCAAGGCCUUAAAUCUAGGGGAUACUCUUCUAGAAAGGCCAGGACGCAGAUACCUGUACUCCAUGAAGACCCAAAUAUUGAAGAUAAGUCUCCCAGAGGACCAGACCACAAAAGGCCUGAUUGCCAAAGAGCUAAGCCGCAAGAGUUGGGCCUCUCAGAGGACCAUGUCUUCUGGGAUGGGACUUUGACAGAGCAUAGUGGCCUGGAUCUCUGGAAGACUAAACCACCCAAGGGCCAGACCCCCAAUGAUAAAAGCUCCAGAUAUAGAGCCUGCAAUGAGCCUAGCCAUGAAAGAUGGAAAAACCAGAGGACUGGACCAUGGAGAUCAAGGCCACCUGAGAAACUGUCUUUUACAGGGUCAGACUACACAGGAGAGGACUACUGGAAGGACAGGCCAUGGAAAACAGGACCACCAGGCUAGACCAGAUUCCAAAGGGGGAUGAUAUGAAAGGGCGAAGGGGGAGGACAGGCCCUCAUCCAAGCUCCCUGGUACCAGCUCUACCUCCUGCCCCUGUCCCUUGGCCAUUGGUGGCUAAUAGGGCCAAGAGAAGUUGGAGCGAAGAGCUGGCACCAGUACAGGGAGAGGAAGGAGAAAGACUCUUUCAUACUCUUCCUGUGUCUCAAUCCAAAUUUCGGGACAAGGAGUCACCUGGGGCCGCCAGCUGGUGGUGACUCAACGCCGCUUCCCCACCCUGGAGACCUUCUUCAGUGAGGUGACAUCGGCUGUGCAGGCCCCACUGGCUGUGCGUGCCCUCUAUACGCCUUGUCAUGGCCACCCCGUCACUGAC